GUGGGGAAUAUUGCACAAUGGGCGAAAGCCUGAUGCAGCAACGCCGCGUGAAGGAUGAAGGCCUUUGGGUCGUAAACUUCUGUCCUUGGGGAAGAAAAAAAUGACGGUACCCCUGGAGGAAGUCCCGGCUAACUACGUGCCAGCAGCCGCGGUAAUACGUAGGGGGCGAGCGUUAUCCGGAAUUAUUGGGCGUAAAGAGUACGUAGGUGGUUUUUUAAGCGCAGGGUUUAAGGCGAUGGCUCAACUGUCGUUCGCCCUGUGAACUGGAAGACUUGAGUACAGGAGAGGAAAGCGGAAUUCCUAGUGUAGCGGUGAAAUGCAUAGAUAUUAGGAGGAACACCAGUGGCGAAGGCGGCUUUCUGGACUGUAACUGACACUGAGGUACGAAAGCGUGGGGAGCAAACAGGAUUAGAAACCCUGGUAGUCC
rnacentral:rRNA from 1 species